GCAUCUGGAUUUUUCCGAGUCAGCUGAGCAAUUACAAUCAGAACCAAUUGCAAGUGCCAAGAGAAGCAGCGCAGGGGUACCUUUGCACUUGGGUUUAUUGGCCGGUACUGUUGUCCUGACUAGCAUCGGUGUACUUGUCUACUUAAAGCGCUCGAAAUUGUGAGGUUAUGCUAAAUUAUCUGCCAAAAACAACAUAAUAUGAAUCGUAGCAUUGAUUAAUUAGGCAAGGCAAUGAAAGUUAAUCGGGGGUAGAAGGU
rnacentral:lncRNA from 1 species